AUUGAACGCUGGCGGCAGGCCUAACACAUGCAAGUCGAACGGUAGCACAGAGAGCUUGUUCUCGGGUGACGAGUGGCGGACGGGUGAGUAACGUCUGGGAAACUGCCCGAUGGAGGGAGAUAACUACUGGAAACGGUAGCUAAUACCGCAUAACGUCGCAAGACCAAAGUGGGGGACCUUCGGGCCUAACACCAUCGGAUGUGCCCAGAUGGGAUUAGCUAGUAGGUGGGGUAAUGGCUCACCUAGGCGACGAUCCCUAGCUGGUCUGAGAGGAUGACCAGCCACACUGGAACUGAGACACGGUCCAGACUCCUACGGGAGGCAGCAGUGGGGAAUAUUGCACAAUGGGCGCAAGCCUGAUGCAGCCAUGCCGCGUGUAUGAAGAAGGCCUUCGGGUUGUAAAGUACUUUCAGCGGGGAGGAAGGCGGUGAAGUUAAUAACUUCACCGAUUGACGUUACCCGCAGAAGAAGCACCGGCUAACUCCGUGCCAGCCGCCGCAGUAA
rnacentral:rRNA from 1 species